GACGAACGCUGGCGGCGUGCUUAACACAUGCAAGUCGAACGGAAAGGCCCUGCUUUUGUGGGGUGCUCGAGUGGCGAACGGGUGAGUAACACGUGAGUAACCUGCCCUUGACUUUGGGAUAACUUCAGGAAACUGGGGCUAAUACCGGAUAGGAGCUCCUGCUGCAUGGUGGGGGUUGGAAAGUUUCGGCGGUUGGGGAUGGACUCGCGGCUUAUCAGCUUGUUGGUGGGGUAGUGGCUUACAAAGGUUUUGACGGGUAGCCGGCCUGAGAGGGUGACCGGCCACAUUGGGACUGAGAUACGGCCCAGACUCCUACGGGAGGCAGCAGUGGGGAAUAUUGCACAAUGGGCGGAAGCCUGAUGCAGCAACGCCGCGUGCGGGAUGACGGCCUUCGGGUUGUAAACCGCUUUCGCCUGUGACGAAGCGUGAGUGACGGUAAUGGGUAAAGAAGCACCGGCUAACUACGUG
rnacentral:rRNA from 1 species